rnacentral:rRNA from 1 species
UACGAAGGGAGCUAGCGUUACUCGGAAUCACUGGGCGUAAAGCGUAUGUAGGCUGAAUUUCAAGUCAGAGGUGAAAUCCCGGGGCUCAACCCCGGAAUUGCCUUUGAAACUGUAAUUCUUGAGUAUGACAGAGGAUGGUGGAAUUUCUAGUGUAGAGGUGAAAUUCGUAGAUAUUAGAAAGAACACCAGUGGCGAAGGCGACCAUCUGGGUCAUAACUGACGCUGAGAUACGAAAGCGUGGGGAGCAAACAGG